rnacentral:pre_miRNA from 7 species
CUUCAGAGACAUGAGUGGUCACACCAAUCCUGGGACAAGCCCCCAAUGAAAGACUCCAUGAGGAGACCCUCACUCAGGCCUCGGGAUAAUAGCAGACCCCAAGAACUCACAAGAGAUC